GCCGUGCAGACGGCAAGUUGGAGCAAUACGGCGAUUCCGUUUGCUCCAUAUUUUAGAGUUUUACCCAGAUUGUAUGUUGUUUUACUGUAUUUGAUUUGUAGUUUGGCUUUUUGUUACGCCACUGGUGGGAGGCCCUUUUUCUAGCUGUAGAUCACCAGUGUGGUCCUGCAGUUGGGUUAUCCCCCAGCGCUGCAUAUUAGUUUUGUUGCAAUAUAUUAAAAUUUUCUUUGUUUCUUUUAUUCAGAUGCGGAGCGCCGACGUGGAGGAGACCAGGGUGCCUUGGUGGUGGGAUCCUCUGAGUGUACACACCUGCCUUGUUUAAUUUAUUAGUGAUAAAAGCAAAGCAGCAGCUACUUUGGUGUGGGAUUCCACAGCUGUGUUACAGAGAUGGAGGAAGAGUUACAGGAACUCAGGGACUUGAUCGCGCAGCUGAAAGCAGACAAUGAGAGGCUGCGUCAGGAGAGGUCUGUUGGGUCAGAUGCGGAGCGCCGACGUGGAGGAGACCAGGGUGCCUUGGUGGUGGGAUCCUCUGAGUGUACACACCUGCCUUGUUUAAUUUAUUAGUGUGAGUGUGUGAUG